UAAGUCGUAACAAGGUCUCCGUAGGUGAACCUGCGGAGGGAUCAUUA
rnacentral:rRNA from 1 species